AGCUUAUACGAGUGUUACUUUACUAACAGAGGCCAGUUAUACACAAAAACAACAUGGAGAUUACUUUAAAUAGUCAUAGAGGCUUGACCACAAGAGCAUCAUUUAACAUAGAGGCAUUUUUUAUUAAUCAUAUGAUAAGAAUAGAAUUCGACAGCAUAGGUUUGAUAACAAUACAACAUAUCUUGAUCAAAAAAUCCCUAACUCAACGGUGAAAACAAUAUAUAUAUAUAUGAGGCAAGUCAUGAUAAACAUAGUUUAAUAUCUAGCACGAACAAUUAGAGAAAUAACUAGGAAACCAUAGAACCAAACGAUUAAUUCAAAGUAAAAAGGGGUCAAUAUGUACUUACCUUCUAUCGAGCAGCAAACCAAGUAGAGGCAAUUCAACAGUUGUUUAAGGAUCCAAACUCAAGACCAACAGCUGUUGAAACUCAUACCGGAGAAUAAAAGAUAAAGGAAACAAAACAAAUCAAAGAUUAUUAUUGGACUAGCGAGAAAACCUCAAAUUUUAAUCCUUUUCUUUUCUUUCUUUUGUGUUUCUGAUUGUAUUAGAUGUGUGUUAGGUGAGGACAUUGAAUGCCUCGUUUAUAGUGGCAUUAAGCCUUAGGGUUCCGAUUAGAUUUUAAAUCGGUAGUGGAAGGUGACGAUAGUCGGAUGAUGACAUCAAUAGAGGUGAAAUUAGUGAAGAACAAAGGGAAAAAGUAACACGUAUUUACCUGGGCACGAGGAGAUGGCCGUUGAAGGCGAAGACCCAUCGUACAAAGCCCAAAUGUC
rnacentral:lncRNA from 1 species